UACGUAGGGGGCAAGCGUUGUCCGGAUUUAUUGGGCGUAAAGAGCGUGUAGGCGGCCAGAUAGGUCUGCUGUGAAAACUCGAGGCUCAACCUCGAGCUGUCGGCGGAAACCAUUCGGCUAGAGUCCGGAAGAGGAAAGCGGAAUUCCUGGUGUAGCGGUGAAAUGCGCAGAUAUCAGGAAGAACACCCGUGGCGAAGGCGGCUUUCUGGGACGGUACUGACGCUGAGACGCGAAAGCGUGGGGAGCAAACAGG
rnacentral:rRNA from 1 species